AGCACAUUUGGUUUCCCUUUAAUUGAUAGAUACCCAAUCCUCUGCAAAACAGAGCUUCAUCGUUUGCACUAUGUCAAAGAAGCCAACACUUGUCACUUUAUCAUUGGCCACAUUGCUCAUUUGAAAAUUAUCCCUCUCUUCUUCCUCCUCACUUUCGUUCUCUCUCUCUCUCUCAUCUUCUCAUCUUCUAUUUUCCCUGAAACCCUAGAAUCACAAAAAAAACAAACCCUAAACUCCUCUCUCUAUUCUGAUUCAAAUCUAGAAACAUGGAAGGAGGAUAUCAUUCCUCUCGCCGUCGCCACCAUCGUGUAUUCUGUCAUCGUCUCAUCGUGCCACCACCAGUGGUUUUGCCGCCGUCAUCUCUACUCGCCACCACCACUGUUUUUGGCGCCGUCAUCUCUUCUCUUCGAAUGUGUAUCUUCUUGCCGACAAAAGAUUUUCUUUUCAGUGUUUUGAAAUGUAUCAGAUUUUCUUUUCAUUCUAAAUCGAAAGAAUGACAUGCCACCAAAGGACUUGAUAUUGUCAUUUUCCAUGGUGCAUCAGGUUUAAAUAUGACAUGCCACCAAAAGAGAAAGAUCAAUGAAAGACAAAUCGUUCAUACGUUAUGGAAGGCCACACCGAAAUCAACUCAAACACCGGUGACAAAUAUGCGUUCGAGUGGAUUCCCGUGAUGGUGGAACUGGUUGGAAAGACAACUACCUGCAACAUCAAAUCCAUAAGAAAAACAAGUCCUAAAGAAUUUCCAAAUCACGCUGCCGAGACCAUAUUCAGAACAAAAGACAAGUCCAAGACCUGGCUCAAGCACUCAAAGGCAACAACAUCAUCCUUUAGUAGCAUCAUAUAGGUUCUGGUUGCGCUAGCUUUCGGCAGUCCGUUUUAGAUUGCCAUUUAGUAGCAGUUUGUUGAGUAGGUUUGGUAGCAGUUGUGGUGAGCAUAUAUGUUUAUGUGAGCUGUUUUAACUAAAUGUUUAUGAUCAUGUUAUUUUGCCUUCAGAUUUCUGGCCAUGUCAAGAAUUAUAUGAUUCGAAUCAUGUAGCGGUGCCAUUAGAUGAUCAUGUACAUAGUGAACCUUCCCUUGAUGGUAUUGAAGAGUUAGUCCAUGAAUUUAACAAAGCUUCAUGAGUCGAUGCAGGUCUGGAAUCGUUUUAACCAUGUUAUACAUGCCUGCAAAGGCCUGUUCCUGCUCAAAAGCCGAUAUUAGCGGGCUCUGGAAACUUCACUUUCCGCUCCUCCUUUGUCAUCACAAUGCUCAGCUGUUUCUUUUUAAGUUCUCCAUGCAAAUUCUCUUUUCAAGUUCUUUGCAAGUUCUCCAUAUCUUUAUUUUUUGUUUAGAAAUAUUCCAAGAUGCAAACUUGUCAUUAAAUAUUCCUGCUAUAACUUAUCAUUAAACCUUUGUGAACAGGAAACUGAGAGAAAAAUGACAUGAACUACAAUGUGGCUAUCUACUUACUGCUAUUUCUAAUGUUCUUAGUUUCUCAGAUUUUGUCUAUUGUUGUCGUAUAGCAUGGUUGAGUUCAUAUCUUUUCACGUGGUUCGGCUAAGCUCUUUCUCAGGUGUGUUAUCCCAAAAUGAUUCACAAACAGUUUCAUAAACAUCUGCUUCUCAAACAACAUAUGAAAUCUAAACUUUCUCUAAAAUGAGAGAAGUCAAAACAAUUGGAGAAAUUAUUAUCCUCUAACAUGAGUCAUAUGCCGAUACCGUUGGAACUACAAUAUGCAAUUUAGAGCUAACAAUAGUAGCUGGUACAUGAAUAUCAAGUCCCUAAUUUUACAUCCAUUGAUAGUGCAACAUGUUACCUUUAUUCAUUUGUAUGGAAGUCUGUUUGUUUCCUGGCUUUCUUUGUACUUUAUACAUUUGUUUAGGGUCCUUAUAACCAUAUAAAUUUAUGUGUUAAGUUGCAUAUUAGGAAUAACACUACUUGCCAGUAAUGUAGUUGCAGUGAAGCAUUGAAUAAAUUGAAGAAUCAAAUAAAUUAACAGUAAUGCACAUGCUAAAUCUACACAUCCAUUACACUUUGUACACACUGCUUUCUAUGAGUAUACCAUAAUUCAACUUAUGUACAUUUCAUAUAAUAUAUAGGGAAAUGCUUAAUGGUGCAACUCAUUUAUGAAAGCAUACGAACAACAUGGCAGAGCAGUAAAAAGUCUAUAACCUUGGCAUACAUCAACUGCUUACCUUAUUUCUUAAAACAACACAUAACACAUUGUUGUUUCACAGUUUGCAUCAAUAUAUGACUGACACGGUUGCCAUAAAAGUAUAUGUAUCUCCAUUAGAUUGUAUGGGUCUGUCGAGUUUACUAUUUUAAUCUUAUACACACUUCUUUGAGCCUAUGAAUUUGGAUUUUGCUUCGAUUUGAGGCACUGAAUAACUAUGACUUGCAUGAAGAAGAGAGACCCCUAUUAAUUAAGAGCUUUGGUGUUUUAUCUAUACAUUUAUUUUUACUUCUAUAGAAGAUAUUCUCUGGAAUCUGCAGUACUCCAUGCCAGUUCAAGAAGGAAGGUCCAGCAAAGCCUCAACAUGAAUAUGUAUAUACUUUCUGCCUAUAUAUUUGUUUGUUGCAGUUUGUAAGAUAUUUGUUCAGAUACAUUUUCUUGACUAUGGCCAUAGGGAACUUUUAUGGUGAAUGUUUAAAAUAUUUGUUCCCUGCACUUUUGUUUAUUUGUCUCUAUUAUUGCUCCUUUAGAGAAGAACCGCAUAACUCUCUAACAGCUCUUCUAUCACCGCUACAAAAUUUGAAGAUAUGAUUUUCUUAAUCCUUUUGUGUCGCCUCUUUGAAAAAUAUAGAUAACUUGAGCAUUGUUGAUCUUGUGUCUUUACUUCAAAUUUAAAAUUAACUGUUAUCUUAAGUGCUGCUUGGGUAACAUCGGUUUUCCCAUUUCAGCUGAAAACUGCUGGAGGAAGCAGUGCAAUGAACAAUUGGUUCAGAGUUAUUAGUAUUAUAAAUAAGAAGUGAAACGCACUUACUAGCAUGUUAUUGGUCAAAGGGUUUCUGACAAGAGAGAGAGAACAGAUAAAAGUAGUGACCAAAGGAGCAAAAGAAAGAACCCAAAAAGGAAAAACAACAGAGAAAUGAAGAAGCAGAAAGAGAGAGAGGUUUGUGCAAUAGAAGACAGUGAAUGAAAAUUAUUACUAUUAUUAUAAACAAACAUUAAUCAUGUAAAUGACAGAUGAGGAGAGGAUUAAUGUUUACUUCACCUAGGAUAUCUGUAAUAUAUAAAAUGCACUUGUCUAUGUAUUUUUGUUUUUUUUUUCUUCAUAUUUUUUAUUAGUGAUAAAUAUUUUUAAUGCCUAAACAUUUGAGGUUCUAAGAAAAAAUUAUUUAAUUAAUUUUAAAAUAUUUAAUUAAUAAAUA